UACGAGUGCCCCGAGCGUUAUCCGGAAUCAUUGGGCGUAAAGGGUGUGUAGGUGGUCGUGUUAGUCUCUCGUCAAAGACCUGGGCUCAACCUGGGGAAUGCGAGAGAAACGGCACGACUAGAGGAUGCGAGGGGUGAAUGGAACUCAUGGAGUAGGGGUGAAAUCCGUUGAUAUCAUGGGGAACACCAAAAGCGAAGGCAGUUCACUGGCGCAUUCCUGACACUGAAACACGAAAGCGUGGGUAGCGAAUGGG
rnacentral:rRNA from 1 species